GAAAUCUUGGGUUCCCCCCAUUACCAGGUCAAGGAUGCUCUUUUCAUAGCUUUCGAACAAACACAUACAAACUGAUCUUUAUGGAGAGUCCCUCUGAGAUUAAGGUGGAGUUUUUUUCUAUUAUAUGCAUUCUUUUUAUUUGCAUUAACAUGGUUGCAUUUUGUCGAGUGAAAUUCAUUAUUUUUCUCCUCUUUGUUUCUCCUUCUUUUUCGAUAUAAACUUCCUCAAAAAAAGAAAAAAGAUAUAGAGCUAAAUGUCCCUAGGCAAUUUCCAUUUAUACCAGGCAUUAUCUAAACAAUUCUUAGACAUGCUUAUCUGAAGUGCUCUCAGUCAACUAUGGAGUAGCUAUGUGAAUGCCUUUUUAAAUCAAAUUUGAAUUCUAACAUCCUUCUCAUUUAAGCAUGGAUUGGCUAUGCAUGGAAAGUGGUUUGUGGGCCAAUGUGCCAUAUUUAUUACCUCUUAUUCCAAGAUGGCUUAUGUUAUUCCAAUGUGUAUUGGUUUUAACGCCAAAUGUUGUGACUGUUUGGGGGCAUAACUUUUAUUUAGUUCUCAAUUAUAAUAGAUAAUGUGUCUCUUGCAAUUUUUUAGCAUUAUUGAUUUUUAUUUAUAUUUGUAAGAUAGCUUUUGUGAAUUGGGAUUUGACUACUUCUUUCUUGUAGUGUUGAAUGAGGAAAUCUUUGAUUCCUCCCAUUACUACCAGGUCACGUACGCAAAAUGAGCUUUAUGGAGAGUUGCUCUGGGAUUAAGGUGGAGUUUCUUUCUACUAUAUGCAUUCUUCAUUUUUUAUUUGCAUUAACAUGGUUGCAUUUUGUUUAGUGAAAUUCAUUCUCUUUCUUUUCCGAUAUGAACUUCCUCAAAAAGAAAAGAAAAGAUAAAGAGCUGAAUGUAAUGCAAUUUCCAUUUACACCAGGCAAUAUCUAAACAAUUCUUAUGCAUGCUUAGCUGAAG
rnacentral:lncRNA from 1 species